rnacentral:rRNA from 1 species
UACAGAGGAUGCAAGCGUUAUCCGGAAUGAUUGGGCGUAAAGCGUCUGUAGGUGGCUUUUUAAGUCCGCCGUCAAAUCCCAGGGCUCAACUCUGGACAGGCGGUGGAAACUACCAAGCUUGAGUACGGUAGGGGCAGAGGGAAUUUCCGGUGGAGCGGUGAAAUGCGUAGAGAUCGGGAGGAAGGCCGGUGGCGAAGGCGGCGCUCUGGAACGUUUCUGACACUGAGGCUCGAAAGCGUGGGGAGCAAACAGG